CCUGGGGAUCCUCAACCAACACUCUGUUGGUAGCAGGGUCUCUGCAGCACUGGUUGGCCGCACAUUGGCUUGAAGACACGCAGGACUGGCCGUUGGUCAGCCGGAGAACCGAAAGGACACACUGCAAACACGGUAUCUGAAUUGACCGCUAGGUGGCAGCGCGGUAGCACUGUGUGAAAAUUCCUGCUGCAGGAGUCUGGCGAGCAAUAUCUACGAGGCGGUGACUUGGAAGAAUUUCUCAUUUCUUCCGGCAUCAGUUAACGGCCAUAAAAAUGCCAAACGUCAUUUGUCGCUACAAUAUCGAUCAACGCCGUUGAUAUCGAAGCUGGAAGACCCAUCAAGAUUAAAAAUCAGGCGAUGUAAGAUGACCCGCAUGACGCUCUGUGGAAGACCAUCGUGAAAGAAUUCAAUAGCAGGUAGGUGGCGGAUAGGGAAGACGACUGACUGACUGACCCCUAUUCCGUUCUCGAGAUACAUACCUACAAACAUUAUCAUCAUAGAAAGAGGUCAAGAAUCGUGGUCAGGACAUGCCUUAUUAGCCUAUGUCCCAGCUUUCCAGUUGACUGAGGCCUUCGUAACUAAGCGUUUCCUUGCGUUGUCCUGACCUCUGUGCUGCUAACUUAUUCGGCGGUUGGUGAUGUUUGUCUGAGUAUAUCUCAAUAACAAAAGGUGUGUAUUGGUCAGAUACAGCAAUG